rnacentral:misc_RNA from 1 species
CACCUGUCCGUUUGUUCUUUUUUUUUACACCUAUCUUUAAGGCUUCGCUACGGAACUAGAGCAAACGCCUUUGCAGUGUAUAUUGCGUCAGUGAAGGCGAAGGCAUCCUUCCCUGACAGGAGCGCUGCAGCGAGCACGUCCGGCCACCUUCGAACUUCUUCACAGGGGCAAUGACCAACACGGACACUCGACAGAUUCGUGACGGCAACGACGGCAAUCAGAGAGAUUUGAGGUCGUUCUUGUCCAAGGCGCUGCUCUACGCGUUUCUGUCGCUCGUGCUCAUGAACAUCUUUGGAAAGGCACCGAUGGUCUCCGUGCCAAACACGAAGUCAGUGCAGCCUCAGUCGCCAGCGCCGCCGUCCACACUGUCAAGUUUGCGUCCGCUUGCUCGACAAGGGGAGCGCUUCAGCGUCGUAGUUGAAACGCAGCCGCCCCUGUUUGAGCCACUUAAAUUCGAGAACCUCUUGCUCAACCACGCCGCAUUGGCGGCGGCCAACCUGAGCGUAACGAUUCCCGUCGACCUGAAGCCGUGCGCGGCCGCCAACUGCACGGUAACGCUGCGCGUGCAGUGGUCUGUGCGCAACUACACAUUUUCAUUAACAGAGCCGCUUGUGCGCUUUUUCCGCGAUUCCACUGUGCAAAAGAAGUACCUCUUCGGCAAAAACAGCGAGGGUGAGAGCGCCAACGUGGAGGCGGCAGUCAGCACUGCGUACAAGCAAUACUUCCAGCCCGAGGUGACGCUGAGCCCUGUCGUCUUCUUCGAUUACCCUCUUCCGGACCCUUGCUUCGAGUUCACCCCCGUGGUAGAGUCGCGGCCCGGCUUUUACGGCCCGUCCCUCUACAUCAACAACUUUUGGAUGCUGCGCGAGCAUCAUGUGCAGUUGAAUGCAAGCAGCACAUCACAGCCACUCAACUUCACUGUGCGCCUCACCCCACUUCCGCGAUGGAAGGUGCUUCUGUACACCCAGUUCGAAAAGACUAUGGCGACGCAAGCAACCGCCGGCUUCUCGAAAGCCUCAGAAGCGGAGGAAACAAAGAGGAUGCUGCUAGACGUAAGCACCAGGAAUCCGGUCCUUCUCGUGGUCACGGCGAUUGUGACGGUGCUGCACUCCGUGUUUGAGUUCCUCGCCUUCUCGAACGAUGUGAAAUUCUGGAAGGGCCGUAAGGACUUUCGAGGUCUCUCCGUCCGCAGCAUUAUCAUCAGCUGCUACUUUCAGUCCGUAAUUUUCCUCUAUCUCCUCGACAGCCAAGAAACUUCGUGGGCCGUGCUCGUGCCAUCUGGAAUGGGCGCUUUCAUGGAGUUUUGGAAGCUUGCAAAGACGCUCAAGAUAGUAAAAGUCGAGGCCGAAUCCACAACCGCCGUGGAGGGACAGGGGGCGGCGAGGGAGUCGGCUGAAAAGAAGGGAAAGUGGAGGAUUGCCGGGUACGACAUCGGUUUUAAGGACUCGUACGAUUCCCGGACGCAGAAGCACGACGACGUGGCGGUGCGGUAUCUUAUCUACGCGAUGAUUCUGCCUCUGACGGGCUACACUGUGUACUCGGCUCUGUAUAAAACGCAUCGGAACUGGUACUCUUUCCUUAUCUCCACGCAAGUUCAAUUCAUCUACAGCUUUGGCUUUGCGCAGAUGACCCCACAGAUUUUCAUCAACUACAAAAUGAAGAGUGUCGGCCAGCUUCCGUGGCGGACAUUCAUCUACAAAUCCCUCAACACCGUCAUCGACGACCUCUUCGCCUUUGUCAUUAAGAUGCCUUGGCUUCAUCGACUUGCCUGCUUUCAAGACGAUAUAGUGUUUGCCAUUCUCCUCUAUCAGCGCUGGAUCUACCCUGUUGACAUGUCCCGCUUCGACGGAGAUAGCGGCGCAGAUGCGGCAGAGGAAGGCGCCCCGGCAGCAGAGGCGGCUGAGUCAGAUAAAAAGAAUCAGUAAUCUCAUUAUGUGCUGCUACUCAGGUCUGCGUCUUCGCUGCUUGGUGACUUGUAACGUUUUCCAGCUUUUUGUGUGGAUGCUUGACACUUGAUGACGUGCGCAAACUUUAUUAUCAGCGGUGCACGAGUCGCAGAUGACCAGCUUAUACGGGGCGGACACCGUCUCCUGAUCAGCUUCUCAUUUUUUUCCUUCCCCUUCGCCUCGCUUUGUGUGUGUAUGUCUGUCCUCCACAACUUACGAGUUGGAACCGUUCCUUGUUACUGUGCUUAACGAGGAUAUGGGAAUUGUAAGGCAUCGAGAGAAAGAGCAGCACACUUUCUUGGAUGCAUUGGAGAGAAGCGCUGGCACACUCGCUCGGGCCGCGCUUCACCCUCCCCCACCCGCCUAUCGCCACACUGUUUGAUAAAGACUGCU